UACGUAGGGUGCGAGCGUUAAUCGGAAUUACUGGGCGUAAAGCGUGCGCAGGCGGUUUUGUAAGCCAGAUGUGAAAGCCCCGGGCUCAACCUGGGAAUGGCAUUUGGGACUGCAAGGCUUGAGUGCGGCAGAGGAGACUGGAAUUCCUGGUGUAGCAGUGAAAUGCGUAGAUAUCAGGAGGAAUACCGAUGGCGAAGGCAGGUCUCUGGGCUGACACUGACGCUCAUGCACGAAAGCGUGGGGAGCAAACAGGAUUAGAAACCCCGAGUG
rnacentral:rRNA from 1 species